AGAAAUUUUGAGAUAAAGAACUAUGGAAUUUUUUUUGAGAUAGAUUUUGGGUGAAAGGUGGGAGAGUAAGUUAUCUUUAUGGUCUCAGUAAAAGGUUUGUGCUGAGCAGACGGCGGUAGUGGGACUUGUGACUUAAGAAAGAUGGGAAAGAGGAAGCUAGGGAAGAAUUACGUCUCGUCUCACUUGUUUCCAAGGGGGACCAACCUCCUUACUCCAUCACAGACGAUUGGUGUCACAACGGUUUGAUCCCAAGGACUGACUGGAAACCUGACACGCUUCUGCGUCCACAAAACGGUGUUAAGUUCCGCAUCUACUCACGGGAGGACAAAAAUGUAUCUGUUCAAGGGAAAUGUUUCCUUGUGCGUAAGGCGACUAACGUCGCUUUGGGGUCUCAAACGGAAUAAGGCAGGCAUUAUUUUUCAAGUUGGCUAAUACGGUCAGGGCGAGUUUCAGCUGAGCUGCAAUCCAGGCCAGCUCGCUAAGUCCCAGGCUGCUUCAAAUUGCCGUUCUCACCAAUCACUGGAUCCUGCCUGCACGGUUCCUUUGCUCUGUCCAAUCCGAGGUCUACUCUGAAUGCCCGCCCUUCGCCCGGUGCCGCGAACAGACGUAAAUCUGAGGGGCGCGCGGUACGGCCGGGUCGGGCGGCCGCGGGGGCUGGUGGUACGCGCACGCGCACUUGCAGUGCGGCUUGGCGGCCUUUGCAGUCUGAGGACUUUUUUGUUCAGGUCUCUGUUCCUCCAGCCGUUGUGGUGGGUUCGACUUUGGUAAAACAUGAGGUCCCUUUGGACACAGUCGUUCGGAGGAGGACAGCUGUUUAUAUGACAGUAUUUCCAUUUGGGGAUACCAUUUUGAAGUCAUUGUGCUGUUUUAACUGCUCCAAAGUCAACUUUUCCCCUGGAUUUCAGUUUUAUGGGUGAAGCUUAUGUGAGAUGGAAGAUUUUCAUGGUAUAGCAGAAGAGUCAUUUCCAAGCUUUUUCACCAGUUCAUUACUUGGUAAUAGUGGGAUUUUGGAAAAUGUCACUCUUUCUUCAAAUCUUGGCUUCCCUGUUGCUGUUUCCACACUUGCUAGGAAUAGAUCUAGCACUGAUAACAGGUAUCCUGAUGUCCAGGCAUCUUACUUAGUAGAAGGGAGGUUUUCAGUUCCAUCUGUGUCAUCUCCCAGUUGCCAAAGUGAUGCUGAACCAAGAGAAAAGUUACAGCUUAGCUUUCAGGAUGAUGAGUAAGUUCAAACCCUAUCGCUUUAGUCUUGUGAAAAAUGUAAGGUUGUGUCGCUGAUUAAUUCUAAGCAUUUUAAUGAGUUUUCUUUAUAUGUUUUUAUCACAUUUUUGUCUUUUAAAACAUUUUUUCUAACUCUAAAAGUAACAUGCAAAUUGAAAGAAGUAGAAAAUAUAGAGUAUGAUGAAGACAAUAAAGGCCUGUAAUCAGUUAAUUAGAGAAUAGCUAGCUUACUAUAGAAACUGAUU